rnacentral:lncRNA from 1 species
UUUGGCAGAAGUUGCAACAUCAACUUUGCAUUUAAUACUAUCUUUCUCUCACUCUUUCUUUCACUUCUUUAUCACCAGAUUUUCUUUACACACACACUCUCUCUCUCUCAUUCAUUCACUAUCCUUUUCCUUCAUUCCUUUUCUUCAAAUAGAUCUAAACAAAUCGGAACAAAUCUAAAGAUGUCGAUACGGGGGUUUACCAGAUCUCUCUCGUUUGCCGAUAUGGGGAGGUUUUGCCGGUGCACUUAGGGUUCGUUUGGUGUUCAGAUCUAAACUUUGGUGACUUUGAAGUGACCUCCGGUGAUUUUAAUCUGGAAUACGUCAAACAAUAACAUAAUGUCGAUGUAGAAGACGCAAAAUCAACUAGAAGUUGUUUGGUUUCCAGCCAGUUAUGUCUCUCUCAUCUUGCUCCCUGAUUCACUCAUUGAAAUGAUAACGAUGAAAUACAGUGGCACUGAUCUUAGAUCCUUCGUCGUUUUUUUAUGAAUUUUGCAAGUCAAGAGAUCAGAAAAUUCUAAAGAAUAUAUAGUGCAAACAUUUUGGGAGCAAAAUGGAAGACCUUAACCCUUAAAAAAAGAAUCAUUUGUAGGUCAAGUGUUGUCAUGGGUUGGUUAUGAAGAUUAAAAACAUGGUUUGAUGGUUGUGUUGGGUGAAUUCGUUUCGCAGAUAACGAGGUAUAUGCUAGUUUAUUUAUUUUUUAUUUCAUUAACUUUUUUUGUGAUAAUAGUGAGUUUUGAAUAAUGAGAUGUGUAUUCAUAUGAUGUUAAGAAGUUAUUUUGAAUUAAUAUUAACAUAUGUAUUUGAAGUGAUGUAACAUUGGUAUUUUGGAUAGAUGAUGGGAUACACAUCAUUCCUAGUUACAAAAGUCAAGGAGGUUCAUAUAAAUGUAGUAGUUGGGUGUUAGCAAUGUACCAAUUUUGUGUAACAUUUUUAUGUAUAACAAAGUAACCGUAUCUUAACAUUGUUACAAUUAUUUUGUAACAUUUUAUGUAAC